UGGAGCUCAAGCAACCACCUUGAGCCAUGGUUUGGAAGUCACCUGAGUAUCCACAGUGUCCAGUCACAGAUGCCAGCUGUAAGAUAAAAAGGUCCUGGAGGUGAGACCAAAGGGAUAUAUAUUGGCUGGAUCCUGGAGGAAUUGCAAGGACUCUGACUGGAUUCUGAGGCAGUGAGAAGUCACAGAAGGACAUAAGCGGGCAGUUGGGGAAUGGUGAGUGAGAUGAUUAGGUUUGGAUUUUAGAUAAUAAUAACUCUGGGUUUGGUGUGGAGAAAGGGUAUAGGGAGGGGGGACAGUCUGGUGGCAGGAAGACUAGUGAGGAAGCUAUUAUGACUUUCCAGGUGCAUGAAGAUGAGAGCCCAAGCUAGAAAGUUGGUAAUAAAUGAGAGCAAUAAUAAUGAUGAUUACUUUAGCAAAGUUUUAUGCAGUCACUAAAAUCCAUUUCCCAGGCUCCUUUGCAGUUAGGUGUGGCCAUGUGAUUAUGUUCUACACAGUAGAAUGUGAGCAGAAAUAAUGAGCUCUAAUUCCAAGUGUGACCCAUAGAAAUUUCCCAUGUACACUCCUCUCUGUUCUUUCCUUUUUCUGGCUAAUAGGGAUGGAGAAGCCAUGUAUUGGAGAUAAAUGGGAAUCCUUUAAUGUAGAACCUGGUAAAGCCAUGUAGAGAAAAUUUGCCCCAGUUGACAAAGAACACUUCGGAAUGUUACAUAAACGAGGAAUAAAUAUCUGUUGUGUUUGAA